rnacentral:tRNA from 1 species
GGCCUUGUGGUAUAGUGGUAUUAUUCUUCGUUCGGGUCGAAGAGGUCCAGGGUUCGAUUCCCUGCGGGGCCC